GGAGGGGUGGUCGAGUUUGGUUUAAGGCAGCGGUCUUGAAAACCGCCGAGGUGAAAGCCUCCGUGGGUUCAAAUCCCACCCCCUCCGCCA
rnacentral:tRNA from 1 species